rnacentral:snoRNA from 1 species
AUCUUUUUGCAGUUCAUAAGGGUGAUGACUGGGUUUUUGCCAUUCAUAAGGGUGAUGACAUGUGUCUGUAUGAGUUGUGCCUCCCUCAAAUCUUGUUGCAAUGUCAGCAUGUUAAGCAUCUGACA